rnacentral:rRNA from 1 species
UACGGAGGGUGCAAGCGUUACUCGGAUUUACUGGGCGUAAAGCGCGUGUAGGCGGUUCGAUAAGUCUGGUGUGAAAUCCCUGGACUCAAUCCAGGACGUGCAUUGGAUACUGUCGAACUAGAGUACGGGAGAGGUGAGCGGAAUUCCAGGUGUAGAGGUGAAAUUCGUAGAUAUCUGGAGGAACAACAGAGGCGAAGGCGGCUCACUGGACCGUAACUGACGCUGAUGUGCGAAAGCGUGGGGAGCGAACAGG